AUUGAACGCUGGCGGCAGGCCUAACACAUGCAAGUCGAGCGGCAGCGGGAAAGUAGCUUGCUACUUUUGCCGGCGAGCGGCGGACGGGUGAGUAAUGCCUGGGGAUCUGCCCAAUCGAGGGGGAUAACUACUGGAAACGGUAGCUAAUACCGCAUACGCCCUACGGGGGAAAGCAGGGGACCUUCGGGCCUUGCGCGAUUGGAUGAACCCAGGUGGGAUUAGCUAGUUGGUGAGGUAAUGGCUCACCAAGGCGACGAUCCCUAGCUGGUCUGAGAGGAUGAUCAGCCACACUGGAACUGAGACACGGUCCAGACUCCUACGGGAGGCAGCAGUGGGGAAUAUUGCACAAUGGGGGAAACCCUGAUGCAGCCAUGCCGCGUGUGUGAAGAAGGCCUUCGGGUUGUAAAGCACUUUCAGCGAGGAGGAAAGGUUGGUAGCUAAUAACUGCCAGCCGUGACGUUACUCGCAGAAGAAGCACCGGCUAACUCCGUGCCAGCCGCCGCUGUAAUAC
rnacentral:rRNA from 1 species